rnacentral:lncRNA from 1 species
CGGCGGCGAAGUCGUCGCACGAACGCCCUAGCCUGUACCAGGGACAUCAUAAGUCCUGGGAUUCCGGAAUCCACUUACCACAGGUCGAGGGUUCAUAGCCAACCCUAUACUAUCGACCUAGCUCAUCCUAGUGGCUAUACCACUAUACUCAUCAACCUAGGUUCCAAUACUCUAGGUUCUAUGUCCACAUCACUUAACCUAGAUACACUUGCUAGGUUCUUGUCAUCUUCGCCUAGAUGUCCACUUCUAGGUUUACUAGUUCAACCUAGGUUUACUAACACUAGGUCAAAUGCCACACACCUAGAUUGUUCGACUCUAGGUUUACUAAUCAACCUAUGUUCUUUAACACUAGGUUAGAUGCCACUCGAUCUAUCUGACAACCUAGUUGUCCAAUUGACUCUAUUUACACUAGAGUUAUCAUGUUACUUACUUAGCUCUUCUGAUGCUACUUUGCAUUCUCUACUUUAACUAGCAUUAUAUACAUGCUAUGCUCAUUAUGCUCUCUACUUAGCAUUUCCAUCUAUGCAUAAUUAGUACAUGCAUUCGUUACGUUAACUAGCAUUAAUUACUUAGCAUGCUUUCCAUUUAGCGUUUCCAUCUUAUAUUAGUCAUCCUCUCUACUUAACAUUUACUAAUAUGGCUCUAUGCAUCAUUAUUUAACAUGCAUUUACACUAUGCAUUAUUAUCAUCAUGCAUUCCAAUUACUUGCUUGCAUUAUUUAUUUAUCAUGCUCAUCAUGCAUUCUUUACUUUUCUUGCAUUUACUCUAUGCAUUGUUAUUAACAUACAUUUACUUUACAUCAUGCAUCAUUGUUAACUUACAUCCUUUACUUAGUCUUUACCUUAUGUAUAUUUACUAAUGCAUCAUUUAGCCUUGUCUACAUGCACAUGCAUCAACGUGAGAUUACAUUGCUAAGACAUAAAGGGUGACCUAGUCGCUUCGGUAAGCACAACCCACCUUAACUUGCGUUCCGAUUGCUUGUCGACACUUGCAAUCGGCCUCCCGCCGCACUCGGCACCCGUUUGGGCCCGCACUCUUGCGCGACUUAGCGAACGACCUCCGAACCGCGAUCCGUCUUUUCCGGAGUUUAUUCCUUGACUCCAAGAUGCUUCGGUUCCGAUCUCACGAUUUUUAGGCUUUUAUUUCGCGUG